GAUGAACGCUGGCGGCGUGCCUAAUACAUGCAAGUCGAGCGAACAGACGAGGAGCUUGCUCCCCUGCCGUUAGCGGCGGACGGGUGAGUAACCCGUGGAUAACCUACAUCUAAGAGUGAGAUAACUUCAGGCAGCCUGAGCCCUUACCGGAUAAUAUAUUUAACCGCAUGGUUCACUCGUGACAGACGGUUUUGUUGUUACUUUUAGAUGGUUCCGAGCCGCCUUAGCUAGUUGGUAAGGAAACGGCUUACCAAGGCAACGAUGCGUAGCCGACCCGAGAGGGUGAUCGGCCACUCUGGAGCGAGGACACGGUCCAGACUCCGACGGGAGACAGCAGUAGGGAAUCUUCCGCAAGGGGCGAAAGCCUGACGGAGCAACGCCGCGUGAGUGAGGAAGGUCUUCGGAUCGUAAAACUCUGUGAUUAGAGAAGAGCAAAUGUGUAAGGAGCGAUGCGCGUCUGGACGGUACCUAAGCAGAAAGCCACGGUAAACUCCGU
rnacentral:rRNA from 1 species